GAUGAACGCUGGCGGCGUGCCUAAUACAUGCAAGUCGAGGGAAAGGACGAGUAGAUUGCUUCUCUGAUGUUAGCGGCGGACGGGUGAGUAAAACGUGGAUAACAUAUAUAUAAGACUGGGAUAACUUCGGGAAACCGGAGCUAUUAUAGGCCAAUAUUUUGAACCGCAUGGUUAAUAUGUGAUUGACGGUCUUGCUGUCACUUAUAGAUGUAUCCGCGCUGGAUUAGUUAGUUGGUAAGUUAACGGCAUAACCAGGCAACGAUGCAUAGCGGACCUGAGAGGGGGAUCGGCCACACUAGAACUGAAACACGGUCCAGACUCCUACGGGAGGCAACAGAAGAGAAACGACCACUGUGGGCUAGAGCCUAACGUAACAACGCCGCGUGAGGUAUGAAAGUCUUCGGAUCGGAAAACUCAAUUACUAGGAAAGAACAUAUAUGUAGUGAACUGUGCAGAACUUGACGGUACCUAAGCAGAAAGCCACGGCUAACUACGUG
rnacentral:rRNA from 1 species